AUUGAACGCUGGCGGCAGGCCUAACACAUGCAAGUCGAGCGGAUGAAGGGAGCUUGCUCCUGGAUUCAGCGGCGGACGGGUGAGUAAUGCCUAGGAAUCUGCCUGGUAGUGGGGGAUAACGUCCGGAAACGGGCGCUAAUACCGCAUACGUCCUGAGGGAGAAAGUGGGGGAUCUUCGGACCUCACGCUAUCAGAUGAGCCUAGGUCGGAUUAGCUAGUUGGUGGGGUAAAGGCCUACCAAGGCGACGAUCCGUAACUGGUCUGAGAGGAUGAUCAGUCACACUGGAACUGAGGCACGGUCCAGACUCCUACGGGGGGCAGCAGUGGGGAAUAUUGGACAAUGGGCGAAAGCCUGAUCCAGCCAUGCCGCGUGUGUGAAGAAGGUCUUCGGAUUGUAAAGCACUUUAAGUUGGGAGGAAGGGCAGUAAGUUAAUACCUUGCUGUUUUGACGUUACCAACAGAAUAAGCACCGGCUAACUUCGUG
rnacentral:rRNA from 1 species